rnacentral:snRNA from 1 species
GCUCCAUUCAGCAGCACAUACUAAAACUGUAAUGACACAGAGAAGAUUAGCAAGGCCCCUGUACAAGGAUGAUAUGCAAAUUUGUGAAGCAUUCUAUAUUUUU